rnacentral:rRNA from 1 species
GCCCGCUCAGAAACUUAAAGGAAUUGACGGGGCCCGCACAAGCGGAGGAACAUGUGGUUUAAUUCGAUGAUACGCGAGGAACCUUACCUGGGCUUAAAGUGGGGAGUGACAGCUGUCGAAAGAUGGUUUUCUUCGGACACUCUUCAAGGUGCUGCAUGGUUGUCGUUAGCUCGUGCCGUGAGGUGUCGGGUUAAGUCCCAUAACGAGCGCAACCCUUACCGUUAGUUACCAUCAGGUUAAGCUGGGGACUCUAGCGGGACUGCCACCGUAAGGUGAGAGGAAGGUGGGGAUGACGUCAAAUCAGCACGGCCCUUAUGUCCAGGGCUACACACGUGUUACAAUGGCCGGUACAAAGGGCAGCUACUUCGCGAGAAGAUGCUAAUCUCGAAAGCCGGUCUCAGUUCGGAUCGAAGUCUGCAACCCGACUUCGUGAAGCUGGAUUCGCUAGUAAUCGCGCAUCAGCCAUGGCGCGGUGAAUACGUUCCCGGGCCUU